rnacentral:rRNA from 1 species
AUACGGAGGGUCCAAGCGUUAUCCGGAUUCAUUGGGUUUAAAGGGUCCGCAGGCGGGAAAAUAAGUCAGUGGUGAAAGCCUACAGCUCAACUGUAGAACUGCCAUUGAUACUGUUUUUCUUGAGUAUAGAUGAAGUGGGCGGAAUACAUCAUGUAGCGGUGAAAUGCAUAGAUAUGAUAUAGAACACCGAUUGCGAAGGCAGCUCACUAAACUAUUACUGACGCUCAGGGACGAAAGCGUGGGGAGCGAACAGGAUUAGAUACCCUAGUAGUCC